CACAGAGAACUCACCAUGGAAUUUCUGCUUGGCUGGGUUUUCCUUGUUGCUCUUUUAAAAGGUGUCCAGUGUGAAGUGCAGCUGGUGGAGUCUGGGGGAGACCUGGUGAAGCCUGGGGGGUCCCUGAGACUCUCCUGUGAAGCCUUUGGAUUCACCUUCAGUAGCUACAGCAUGAGCUGGGUCCACCAGGCUCCAGGGAAGGGGCUGCAGUGGGUCACAUGGAUUAGGAGUGAUGGAAGUAGCAUAUACUACACAGACUCUGUGAAGGGCCGAUUCACCAUCUCCAGAGACAAUGGCAAGAACACGCUGUAUCUGCAGAUGGACAGCCUGAGACCCGAGGAUACGGCCAUGUAUUACUGUGCAACACACACAGUGAGGGGACAUCAGUGUAAGCCCAGACACAAACCUCAAACUACAAGGGUAUAA